UAAUGAGAGAGCUUUACCUAAAGUUACCCGGCUGGAUAAGCCUGGCCGUGUCACUAUCGGACCUUGCAAUUCAGGUCUUACUUUUCCGAGUGACGACAAAAAGGUUUUACAACAACCUCAGGGUACAGUAACGGCUAUUAAACAUUCACUAUCUUCUACAAAACCUAAGGAAGUCACGGUUUUAACAAAAAAUGGGAGCCAAUGCUCUGCAUUUAUGUGGAGUCAAAGCACUAAUGAAGUUCAUCUUUCUCUUUUUGUUCCUGAAAACACUCAAGGGAAAUUUGUAACCAUCAAUUUAACUAGUAAAGAAUUA